GAUGAACGCUGGCGGCGUGCCUAAUACAUGCAAGUCGAGCGAACAGACGAGGAGCUUGCUCCUCUGACGUUAGCGGCGGACGGGUGAGUAACACGUGGAUAACCUACCUAUAAGACUGGGAUAACUUCGGGAAACCGGAGCUAAUACCGGAUAAUAUAUUGAACCGCAUGGUUCAAUAGUGAAAGACGGUUUUGCUGUCACUUAUAGAUGGAUCCGCGCCGCAUUAGCUAGUUGGUAAGGUAACGGCGUACCAAGGCGACGAUGCGUAGCCGACCUGAGAGGGUGAUCGGCCACACUGGAACUGAGACACGGUCCAGACUCCUACGGGAGGCGGCAGUAGGGAAUCUUCCGCAAUGGGCGAAAGCCUGACGGAGCAACGCCGCGUGAGUGAUGAAGGUCUUCGGAUCGUAAAACUCUGUUAUUAGGGAAGAACAAAUGUGUAAGUAACUAUGCACGUCUUGACGGUACCUAAUCAGAAAGCCACGGCUAACUACGUG
rnacentral:rRNA from 1 species